rnacentral:lncRNA from 1 species
GAACGAUGAUUGAUUAUUUUCUGGUUGUUCAUGAUUCUUAACAAUAUGAAGAGAUGAGUGUCAGUUUUGACUUUGGAUGUAUGCAACUCAUUGCUCACGAUCCCUCUACAUGUGGCCUUAGAAAUAAUCAAAUUCACCGAAUUUCAACAAGAAGGUAUAGUUCUACUCAUCCAUCUUACCUCUUCUCUAGUCACAGUGUCAGUUUGUUCUAAAAUUUUUCAGUGCUUAUGAAAGUUCUAUGUACGAAGGCUUCUUUUUGGUUCUACGAACCAUUCAUCGGGACCAUGCAUAUCUUAGUAGUUUUAUUCAGUUUAGACUGAUAUGAAUCAAUUUCUUUUAUAAUUGACAAAUACUGCAACCAUUCAACCAACCCAGCAUACACCAGCUUUGUAAAUGGCUUUGUUAUGUGAUUUGGUUUUCCAUUAUUAACUCUUAGAUUUACUAAGAAAUACCCAGUUAUAUGUUUAAGGACAGUAACGUUUCUAGGAUCACUAGAAAUUGAUAUAUUAUCUUCUUUUACGGUACUUAACGAUACAAUUAUCUUAUAUGUUUCAGGGAAUAAAAUCUUUUUAUGGCACAACAAUGUUAUGCUUUUCAUUUCCAGCAGCUAAAUAAAAAUGCAUUUGUAAUAUUUUUAUGCAGAUGAUAAAAUAGGUUUUGAUAGCAAAAAUAUGCUUUGCAGUUCUACAUUACCCAUAUGCCACUGGGUAAUGCCAUACGAUGUGUUCUUCGUGCUUGCAUUCUGUUGCAUCUGCCACUGGGCCAAGCCGACCAUUUAGCUCUAUUGAAAUAUUCACUCAACAUUCUCUUUCCUACUUAACAUCAAUGAUGAGAUGAACUUUUGCUCCAAUCAUUUCUUGUAUAUAUUAACUUCUUCUCCAUUGAUGCAGCACACGAAUGAGGUUACGUGUAGUAUAGCAUGGAAGCAUGCUCCUUGCUCUGCUAUGGUCAAGUUUGUACAUUUUGCUUUGUUGUUGUUAGGUUAGUACAUUUCGGUUAUUCUUGAUGUUUCUGUAAUAUAUAAUAAGCACGAGGUUAGUUUUUUUUUCUUCUCUGGAUGUCUUACCUCCAUGAUUAACAACCACACCAUAUUCCUGCAUACAUUUGAUCAAGCUUCCUUUUGUUCCAUCCUUCAACUGUAUAAAUUGAACUUACAUAUUCGUGCACAGUUUUGUUAAUUCAGAUUUUAGAAUGCACAAACAAACUUUUAUUUAUUUUCCUAUUCUGUGUGUACCAUUUAGCAAGAACUAAUUGAUGUUCUUCUUCUCACAGCUAACUCAUUUGUUUGGGAUGUUGUUUAGGGAAAUGUUAUAGGCUGAAAGAUAAAUCUUAUACAAAACUGUAUUGGAGUUGUGUUGUGUGCUAAUUACUGAAUGAAUUUAUCAUCUUGGUUUUCAGAAAGAGGUACAUAAUACCUGCAUCAGGAGCAGGAUUUCUCUUGAAUGAAACCUGUUAUUUUCUUUGCAAAGGUACUGUUGCCAAAAAUUCAGAAGCACAAUUACAUUCUAUAUUUGUUUGGGAUGUUGUCUAGGGAAAGUUGCAGGCUGAAAGAUAAAUCUUAUACAAAACUGUAUUGGAGUUGUGUUGUGUGCUAAUUACUGAAUGAAUUUAUCAUCUUGGUUUUCAGAAAGAGGUACAUAAUACCUGCAUCAGGAGCAGGAUUUCUCUUGAAUGAAACCUGUUAUUUUCUUUGCAAAGGUACUGUUGCCAAAAAUUCAGAAGCACAA